UACGUAGGGGGCUAGCGUUGUCCGGAAUCAUUGGGCGUAAAGAGCGUGUAGGCGGCCAGGUAGGUCCGCUGUGAAAACUCGAGGCUCAACCUCGAGAUGUCGGCGGAAACCAUCUGGCUAGAGUCCGGAAGAGGAGAGUGGAAUUCUUGGUGUAGCGGUGAAAUGCGUAGAUAUCAAGAGGAAUACCUGAGGUGAAGACGGGUUGCUAGGCCGACACUGACGCUGAAGCGCGAAAGCCAGGGGAGCAAACGGG
rnacentral:rRNA from 1 species